rnacentral:lncRNA from 1 species
UCAUUUUCAAUGUCUCCCCCAAAGGAAAAAAAAAAAAAAAAACACCGAGCUCAUAUUUAUAACCCUGGUAUAUAUAUAGGGAUGGCAAUAAAACCUGCUUGGACCGGACCCGACCAAUCCAGUCCGAACAAAACCCAGACCACAUAUACAAAUAAUACGGGUCCGGUUAUUGAAAUUUAAAACCCGGAUACUUCUGGGUCCGGUUCCGAUCAUGACACCAAAAACUCGGAACCCGGAUCCGUGCCCGGGUUUUGAUAAGUUAAAGAAAAGAAAAAGAAAGAAAAUAUAAAUAUAAUACACCCAAAAUUGAAAUUACCCUAAUUUUCUAUCCUAUUCGUAUGCAAACACAAGCACUGCUGCCGGCUGCCGCACCUCUAGCUCUCCAACACUCCAAGCUAGCGGCCACCACUCAACAUUCCAAAGAAACACAAGCUGCUGGCUGCAAAAAGCAAACACCCCCCAGCAAACACUCCAAGCCAAGAAGUGAAAUAAAAUGAAAAUGCAAUGUGAUUUAGGAUCGGAUGUAAAAAUAUUCGAUUUUCAUUAGACUGCUGUACGGCCAAGUUUUUUUUUUUCCUUGCUUUUGGCUUUCUCUAGCAUGAAUCCUUUUCAAAUAAAAAAUCUGCAAAUCAUUCAUUUUUUUCUUGUUCUAAUAGCACAAAUUUCUUCAUAAUUUGACAUUUCUCCUUAAAAAAAAUCUCUAAAAUUAAAUGUUGUGCAGUCUGCACUUCUUACACAUCUCUCAAGUAGCCAUCACCUAACCGAUCAAAACCAGCACGACAAUAGCACCCAUGACCAAUCAUUGCCAGAUCCAAUAGCCACAAGCACAACCAAUAGCAGCAAAGUAGCGAUUUGCGAACCCAGUAGCCACGCGAAAUCACCGCAGCAGCAGCCUCCAACAAACCCGGCCAGCACACCGCCACGAUGCAUGAAGCCACCUCAGCAGCAACCAGCAGUAAACCCAGCACCAGCCACUUGAACCCACGCGAUGCGAACCCAGCCACUCGAACCCACGCAAUGCAAAUCAUCGACUCACGUUUUUCAGGCUAUUCUUUUGGCAAAGAACGACAAACAUUGCUCCAUGGAUAUCAAACUUUUGCAUUUUAGGCUUUCCUGGUUUUGGAAUUGAUUUGCCGUAAAUGGAAU